rnacentral:rRNA from 1 species
UACGUAGGGUGCAAGCGUUGUCCGGAAUUAUUGGGCGUAAAGAGCUCGUAGGCGGUUCGUCGCGUCGGCUGUGAAAUCCCGAGGCUCAACCUCGGGUCUGCAGUCGAUACGGGCGGACUGGAGUUCGGCAGGGGAGACUGGAAUUCCUGGUGUAGCGGUGAAAUGCGCAGAUAUCAGGAGAACACCCGGUGGCGAAGGCGGGCUCUGGCG